UGGCUCUCGCAUCGAUGAAGAACGCAGCGAAAUGCGAUAAGUAAUGUGAAUUGCAGAAUUCAGUGAAUCAUCGAAUCUUUGAACGCACCUUGCGCCCCUCGGUAUUCCGAAGGGCAUGCCUGUUUGAGUGUCAUCGAACCCAUCGACCCGGAAAGCUUUCGCGCUCUCCGACGUUCGGACUUUGGAGUCGUGCGGGUCUCUCUCGAUCCGCUCCUCUCGAAAUGCAUCAGCGGAACGCGACGGCGGACCAGCGCGCGGCGUGAUAAUCAUCUGCGUCGCCGCUUUCGGUCCCCAUGUCUUCCCCGCUCACAAUCGUCGCCUUGCGCGACAGACGCGAUGUCGAACUUUGACCUCAGAUCAGGUAGGAUUACCCGCUGA
rnacentral:misc_RNA from 1 species